rnacentral:tRNA from 1 species
CGGGAUGUAGCGCAGCUUGGUAGCGCACUUCGUUCGGGACGAAGGGGCCGCAGGUUCGACUCCUGUCAUCCCGA